AUUGAACGCUGGCGGCAUGCUUUACACAUGCAAGUCGAACGGCAGCGCGGGGCAACCUGGCGGCGAGUGGCGAACGGGUGAGUAAUAUAUCGGAACGUACCCAAGAGUGGGGGAUAACGUAGCGAAAGUUACGCUAAUACCGCAUACGAUCUAUGGAUGAAAGUGGGGGAUCGCAAGACCUCAUGCUCCUGGAGCGGCCGAUAUCUGAUUAGCUAGUUGGUGAGGUAAAGGCUCACCAAGGCGACGAUCAGUAGCUGGUCUGAGAGGACGACCAGCCACACUGGAACUGAGACACGGUCCGGACUCCUACGGGAGGCAGCAGUGGGGAAUUUUGGACAAUGGGCGCAAGCCUGAUCCAGCAAUGCCGCGUGAGUGAAGAAGGCCUUCGGGUCGUAAAGCUCUUUUGUCAGGGAAGAAACGGUUGGGGCUAAUAUCCCCGGCUAAUGACGGUACCUGAAGAAUAAGCACCGGCUAACUACGUGCCAGCAGCCGCGGUAAUACGUAGGGUGCAAGCGUUAAUCGGAAUUACUGGGCGUAAAGCGUGCGCAGGCGGUUUUGUAAGUCUGUCGUGAAAGCCCCGGGCUCAACCUGGGAAUUGCGAUGGAGACUGCAAGGCUUGAAUCUGGCAGAGGGGGGUAGAAUUCCACGUGUAGCAGUGAAAUGCGUAGAGAUGUGGAGGAACACCGAUGGCGAAGGCAGCCCCCUGGGUCAAGAUUGACGCUCAUGCACGAAAGCGUGGGGAGCAAACAGGAUUAGAUACCCUGGUAGUCCACGCCCUAAACGAUGUCUACUAGUUGUCGGGUCUUAAUUGACUUGGUAACGCAGCUAACGCGUGAAGUAGACCGCCUGGGGAGUACGGUCGCAAGAUUAAAACUCAAAGGAAUUGACGGGGACCCGCACAAGCGGUGGAUGAUGUGGAUUAAUUCGAUGCAACGCGAAAAACCUUACCUACCCUUGACAUGUCAGGAACCUCCGAGAGAUUGGAGGGUGCUCGAAAGAGAACCUGAACACAGGUGCUGCAUGGCUGUCGUCAGCUCGUGUCGUGAGAUGUUGGGUUAAGUCCCGCAACGAGCGCAACCCUUGUCAUUAGUUGCUACGAAAGGGCACUCUAAUGAGACUGCCGGUGACAAACCGGAGGAAGGUGGGGAUGACGUCAAGUCCUCAUGGCCCUUAUGGGUAGGGCUUCACACGUCAUACAAUGGUACAUACAGAGGGCCGCCAACCCGCGAGGGGGAGCUAAUCCCAGAAAGUGUAUCGUAGUCCGGAUCGCAGUCUGCAACUCGACUGCGUGAAGUUGGAAUCGCUAGUAAUCGCGGAUCAGCAUGCCGCGGUGAAUACGUUCCCGGGUCU
rnacentral:rRNA from 1 species